rnacentral:rRNA from 1 species
UGUGGGUGGAUUAGUGGCGAACGGGUGAGUAACACGUGAGUAACCUGCCCUUAACUCUGGGAUAAGCCUGGGAAACUGGGUCUAAUACCGGAUAUGACUCCUCAUCGCAUGGUGGGGGGUGGAAAGCUUUAUUGUGGUUUUGGAUGGACUCGCGGCCUAUCAGCUUGUUGGUGAGGUAAUGGCUCACCAAGGCGACGACGGGUAGCCGGCCUGAGAGGGUGACCGGCCACACUGGGACUGAGACACGGCCCAGACUCCUACGGGAGGCAGCAGUGGGGAAUAUUGCACAAUGGGCGAAAGCCUGAUGCAGCGACGCCGCGUGAGGGAUGACGGCCUUCGGGUUGUAAACCUCUUUCAGUAGGGAAGAAGCGAAAGUGACGGUACCUGCAGAAGAAGCGCCGGCUAACUACGUGCCAGCAGCCGCGGUAAUACGUAGGGCGCAAGCGUUAUCCGGAAUUAUUGGGCGUAAAGAGCUCGUAGGCGGUUUGUCGCGUCUGCCGUGAAAGUCCGGGGCUCAACUCCGGAUCUGCGGUGGGUACGGGCAGACUAGAGUGAUGUAGGGGAGACUGGAAUUCCUGGUGUAGCGGUGAAAUGCGCAGAUAUCAGGAGGAACACCGAUGGCGAAGGCAGGUCUCUGGGCAUUAACUGACGCUGAGGAGCGAAAGCAUGGGGAGCGAACAGGAUUAGAUACCCUGGUAGUCCAUGCCGUAAACGUUGGGCACUAGGUGUGGGGGACAUUCCACGUUUUCCGCGCCGUAGCUAACGCAUUAAGUGCCCCGCCUGGGGAGUACGGCCGCAAGGCUAAAACUCAAAGGAAUUGACGGGGGCCCGCACAAGCGGCGGAGCAUGCGGAUUAAUUCGAUGCAACGCGAAGAACCUUACCAAGGCUUGACAUGAACCGGAAAUACCUGGAAACAGGUGCCCCGCUUGCGGUCGGUUUACAGGUGGUGCAUGGUUGUCGUCAGCUCGUGUCGUGAGAUGUUGGGUUAAGUCCCGCAACGAGCGCAACCCUCGUUCUAUGUUGCCAGCGCGUUAUGGCGGGGACUCAUAGGAGACUGCCGGGGUCAACUCGGAGGAAGGUGGGGACGACGUCAAAUCAUCAUGCCCCUUAUGUCUUGGGCUUCACGCAUGCUACAAUGGCCGGUACAAAGGGUUGCGAUACUGUGAGGUGGAGCUAAUCCCAAAAAGCCGGUCUCAGUUCGGAUUGGGGUCUGCAACUCGACCCCAUGAAGUCGGAGUCGCUAGUAAUCGCAGAUCAGCAACGCUGCGGUGAAUACGUUCCCGGGCCUUGUACACACCGCCCGUCAAGUCACGAAAGUUGGUAACACCCGAAGCCGGUGGYCUA